rnacentral:rRNA from 1 species
AGUGAACGCUGGCGGUAGGCCUAACACAUGCAAGUCGAACGGCAGCACAGUAAGAGCUUGCUCUUACGGGUGGCGAGUGGCGGACGGGUGAGGAAUACAUCGGAAUCUACUUUUUCGUGGGGGAUAACGUAGGGAAACUUACGCUAAUACCGCAUACGACCUACGGGUGAAAGCAGGGGAUCUUCGGACCUUGCGCGAUUGAAUGAGCCGAUGCCGGAUCAGCUAGUUGGCGGGGUAAAGGCCCACCAAGGCGACGAUCCGUAGCUGGCCUGAGAGGAUGAUCGGCCACACUGGAACUGAGACACGGUCCAGACUCCUACGGGAGGCAGCAGUGGGGAAUAUUGGGCAAUGGGCGCAAGCCUGAUCCAGCCAUACCGCGUGGGUGAAGAAGGCCUUCGGGUUGUAAAGCCCUUUUGUUGGGAAAGAAAAGCAGCAGGUUAAUACCCCGCUGUUCCGACGGUACCCAAAGAAUAAGCACCGGCUAACUUCGUG